AUUGAACGCUGGCGGAAUGCUUUACACAUGCAAGUCGAACGGUAGAGGGGGCAACCCCUCGAGAGUGGCGAACGGGUGAGUAAUAUAUCGGAACGUGCCCAGUCGUGGGGGAUAACGUAGCGAAAGUUACGCUAAUACCGCAUACGAUCUAAGGAUGAAAGCGGGGGAUCGCAAGACCUCGCGCGAUUGGAGCGGCCGAUAUCAGAUUAGGUAGUUGGUGGGGUAAAGGCUCACCAAGCCAACGAUCUGUAGCUGGUCUGAGAGGACGACCAGCCACACUGGAACUGAGACACGGUCCAGACUCCUACGGGAGGCAGCAGUGGGGAAUUUUGGACAAUGGACGCAAGUCUGAUCCAGCCAUUCCGCGUGCAGGAUGAAGGCCCUCGGGUUGUAAACUGCUUUUGUACGGAACAAGAGGUCUCUCUCAAUACGGGGGACUCAUGACGGUACCGUAAGAAUAAGCACCGGCUAACUACGUGCCAGCCGCCGCCGUAAUAC
rnacentral:rRNA from 1 species